AAGGAAAUAAUUUGAAAGAAUAAACUAAUGGGUACAACUCUUUUGGCUACAAGAUGUAAAAUUUAGAUAAACCUAAAUUCCUCAACUAACUAAAGGGGCAACAACAUUUAGACAUGACGGGGGGGGGGGGAGGGGGGGGAGGGGGGUCCGAGAUUUCUUAGGCUAAAGGAUCACACCGUGAAACAUAAAUAAUACUUUUUAACACUUAAGUGCAAUGGUUUCGCAUAUUAUCCAGCAAGCACAAACUAUCAUUUCUAGCUACCCGAUUACUAUCUUCAAUUGUUUACCUAAAGCGCACUAAUUCAAUCUAAGUUGUACCCUAUAUAUGUCUACCUAUCCCAUGCCUAUGGUCCAGGAGGUAUUGGACCGCUAUACAAGUGGUUCUCGACUCAUCCUAGGCUUUUCAAAAUUAAAAUACUAGGUGCCACAUAAUUAACAAACUGAACUUCAUAAAAAGUACAGUUAGCACAAAUGGCUCAUGUUUACCUCCACAAAAGACCUGCAUGAAUGUCAACAAAUAUCGAUUAACAGUUAUGGAGAAAUGGCAGAAUUGAUAAGUGAAUUGCCCUAUGAAUAUGCUCUUCUAGUCGCAAGAUUAAGUCGGGCAGUCAUGAGCUAAUGCGCAUUGAAUUAAUUAGUCCUAAAAUACGGUUUCUAUGUGGAAUCGCAGACGACCAGUUGCAACUAAUUAAAUUCAGAACUUAUACAUGGAUAAUCAAAGAAGACAAACUUCAUUAUUUAAGUACUAUGGGCAAGAUUUCUAAAUGAUUAUGAUUCAGACUGUUUUUAAAAUGACACAGGAGUUAAGUGAUACAAGUUCUUAUUUAUGGGACCUAUAGCCAUUAUUCCUAGGUAUGAAGUAUUAAGAGCAUAGUUUGUAGUAGGAUCAAUUGAACUAAUUAAAAAUCCCAUAUGCAUGAUACUAAAAUAUUAAAUCCUAAUACAUGAUACUAUAUGCAUGCUUUUAACCCAUUUAUGUAGUAAAUAAACUACCCCAAGCCCCUCUUAAGACUAUAUUCCCCAUCAUCUAUUUUUACAAGUUAUUACAGAUCAAAUAGAAUAGUUACAGGCACAAUUAUAAAACAACCCAAUAACGCAUCUGGGCCUUCAAAUAGACAUAGAACUUCAUGCGGGCGGCAAGCCCAAACUCUAGGUGCAAAGGCCACGCUGACAGUGUAUUUCUGACCUAAUACCAAACCUGGCCCAACAAACCAGUCCCAAAAGAAGCAACUACUUUGUUUACCCAUUAUUAUUAACAAGCAACAGGAACGCAAAGAACAUAAGUGAAAGCCUACGCAAAUCAGUUAUUUAGGCGACUUCAAAUUUAGGAAAGAACAUAUGCACAUUGGGUCCUUAUUUUUACAACUAACAAAGAACAAGAACCUUUAAAUAAUAUCAUAGGAUGUGAUAUUUAAGAGGUGAAAGAGCACAUAAAUAAGGAAAGGACACCUUUGAAAGUCUAUUAGCCUCAUAAAAUCUUAUGAAAUGGUAGGAACAUGAAGGGGGUAUACAAAACAUAUAGGUUAGAACAAACAUACAUCUGAUGGCUUUACCAGGUACAUAGAAUUAGUUCACAAUGACAGCCUCACAAAGAUAGACCUCCUAGAGUAGUCAGUACUUGAACGCAAAGAACAUAACAGACACGAGUCCUUCACAGGAAAGACUUAGCAUGAAAGUUUAACAUGGUCAUGAACUAAUCCUAGGAGGGUAACUAAAUACAAGCACUUACAGGAAAAGCUCUAACAUGAAAACCUAAAAAUAAAGCAUGGUCAAGGACUAAUUCUGAGGAGAUGGCAAAUACUAGUUCAUACAUGAAAGGCUUAGCAUGCAAAUCUAAGAUAAAAAAUAUCCAGGAAAUAAUUCCGAGAAGAUAACAAUAGCAGUCCUCACGGGGAAGACUUCAGCAUGAAAAUCUAAGGUAAUACAUAAUCAAGAACUUAAUCCUGAGAACAUAACAAGCAGAAGUCCUUACAGGAAAGACUUUACAUGAAAAUUCAGGGCAGACAUGGUCAUGAUUUAGUCAUAACAAAAAAUAAAUCCUUACACAAAGACUUAACAUUAACAUACAUGGAUCCUCAAAACAAUAUUUGACUAUGAAAUUGCAGCAAAUCAUACGACAAAAGUGCAAUAUUAGAGUUCACAAAUAGCAGGGUUACCUAAGUCAUGCUCGUCUAUUUUGAUAGGUGUUUACACAGUAUUGGCACACAAAAUACAUGUAACAUGAACAAGUAGAGAAGUAAGAAUUAAAACUGUAAGAGUCAAGAGCACUAACCAGUUGCAAAGAUAAAAGAGCAAAAGAGUAAGAAAAUUAGCAUUUCAGUAGUGGCUCAGUAGUAGCAAUUGAAGGAGGAUAGUGAGAACCCCAAGUCUCCGGUGCUUCAGAGUUAACAAGAGCCUCGAAAGGGCUUCGAGAAGUGCUUUCACUAGAGGAGGUAAUUAAGAAAUACCACGGUGGCCUUGUCCUUUAGCCGGAUAAGAACCAAAUCGAACACAAUAGUUUCAGAGAACCAGAACACAAUAUAACAAUUUGCGAGUGUUCGGGAGUAGUCAAUAAAGUAUGUUUAGGGGAAUUGCGGAAGGGGUUUAUAUAGUGUUAGAUUCACAUAAUCAGAAAAAGAAAAAGAUCAAUCAAAUAACAAAAUCGAAUAAAACUCAUGUAAACCUUAAUCGAGAAGAAAUCGACGGAAAUACGCAGGGACAUAGAAAUAUUCUCCCUUUCUGGAUUUACAGAGCCACAAUCGUGUCCGGAUCCAUAAGGUUGAAGUCAUAUCAACCCGAUUCAGGAGAAUCAUACUUUCCAUAGAUGGAUUGGUAACGAAUGUUACCAUAACUGAGCGAGUGAGCACGAAUAAAGUAUGUGAGCCUGCGUAUGGACGCGUAAAAAGGAAAGAACAGAGAAAAUCUUCAUGGCCGGCUAGGGUUUCAUCGUGAGCUAUGAAGAGAGUGACUGAGGGUGGCCGAAAUGGGAAAAUACGGGUUAGGGGUGGGGUUUGGUCAGAUAAAAGAG
rnacentral:lncRNA from 1 species